CUACGGGUUGCACCAGUUAGGAAUAAUCUACAAUGCGCGAAAGCGUGAUAGUUUGAGCCAGAGUGUUUUUCAAAUGAAAAACUUUUGCCAAGUGUAAAAAGCUUGGCGAAUAAGGACUGGGUAAGACGAGUGCCAGCCGCCGCGGUAAUACUCGCGGUCCAAGUCGCAGGCAUUUUUAUUGGGUCUAAAACAUCCGUAGCUUGCUUGAUAAGUUUCUUGUGAAAUCCUAUAUCUCAAAUAUAGGGCGCGCAAGAAGUACUGUCUCGCUAGAGACUGGAAGACGUAAGAAGUACGUUUGGAGUAGCGGUAAAAUGUGUUAAUCCUAGACGGACUCACGAGAGCGAAGGCAUCUUACGAGGACAGUUCUGACAGUAAGGGAUGAAAGCUAGGGGCGCAAAACGGAUUAGAUACCCCAGUAGUC
rnacentral:rRNA from 1 species